GACGGAGGGGGCUAGCGUUGUUCGGAAUGACUGGGUGUAAAGGGCGCGUAGGCGGUAUUUUAAGUGAGGCGUGAAAGCCCUGGGCUUAACCCAGGAGGUGCGUUUCAUACUGGAAUACUUGAGUGCGAGAGAGGAAAGUGGAAUUCCUAGUGUAGAGGUGAAAUUCGUAGAUAUUAGGAAGAACACCAGAGGCGAAGGCGGCUUUCUGGCUCGCAACUGACGCUGAGGCGCGAAAGCGUGGGGAGCAAACAGG
rnacentral:rRNA from 1 species